UUUACACUGAAUUGGUCUAAAUUCAACUUCUACCAUUAGAGCAGCACUCAUUUUAGCCUUCAAGAAUAUUUCAAGCUCUAAUAAAAGGAUGAACAUCACUUCUCUGUUGAUGUCAAAGUGGCCUUGCUUUAGAUUUCUGUUUCUGUUGGCAUGUUUGUUGGCGAUAUCUAGAACAAGUACGAGUUUACUCUAUGAUAGACGCGAGGUGAUAAAGGGAAAUCGUGGUGUUGUUGCCACUGAUGAUGGACGAUGCUCGAGGAUAGGAAGAGAUGUUCUAAGAGAAGGAGGCCACGCUGUGGAUGCAGCGGUUGCUGCAGCAUUUUGCUUGGGAGUUGUUAGUCCCGCGUCUAGUGGCAUUGGUGGAGGUGCAUUCAUGCUAAUAAGAUCAGCAGAUGGAAAAGCACAAGCCUUUGAUAUGAGAGAAAAUGCUCCCAACAAAGCCUUUAAGAAUAUGUAUGCGCAAAACGCUGCUCUAAAAGCUAGCGGAGUUCUUUCAAUAGCAGUUCCAGGAGAAAUUGCUGGCCUUUACAACGCGUGGAAACAAUAUGGAAAGCUUCCAUGGAGAAGGCUUGUGAGGCCAGCUGCACAUUUAGCUCAUAACGGGUUCAAGAUUUCUCCGUAUCUUCAUAUGCAAAUGCUCAGAAGUGAAUCGGAUAUAAUGGCUGAUAAGGGACUUCAUGACUUGUUCACGUCAAAUGGCAGCCUUUUGCGGAUAGGAGAUAUAUGUUAUAACAAACAGCUAGGGAGAACACUAAGAGUACUUUCCGCGUUUGGAAUUAGACCAUUUUACAAUGGAUCGAUUGGGGUCAAAUUGAUCAAGGAUAUAAGAAAAUCCGGUGGCAUAUUAACAAUGGAAGACUUGCAGCAGUAUCAAGUUCGUAUAAGAGAACCUAUCGUUGCAGACGUGAUGGGAUUUCAGAUAAUUGGUAUGCCAACUCCUUCAUCAGGAGGCGCUGCAAUGGUGCUAAUACUGAACAUUCUUGCACAAUAUGGAUUUCCAAUGGAAGGUCCGAGUUCCCUUAUGAUUCAUCGAACAAUUGAAGCGUUGAAACAUGCAUUUGCAGUGAGGAUGAACCUUGGUGAUCCAGAUUUUGUUAACGUGAAAAAUGUCGUAAAUGAUAUGCUGUCAACACAAUUUGCAAAACAGUUGAAGAAGACCAUAAAUGACAACAUGACUUUCAGUCCCAAUCACUAUGGUGGCAAGUGGAAUCAGAUUAAUGAUCAUGGUACUAGCCACAUGUCCGUUGUGGACAGUGAACGAAAUGCUGUAUCGAUGACAAGCACUGUAAAUUCUUACUUUGGUGCUAAGUAUCUCUCACCGAGUACUGGGAUAGUUCUUAACAAUGAAAUGGAUGACUUCUCCGUUCCUGCAAAACGUUCCGAGAAUGUUCCACCACCAGCACCAGCAAAUUUUAUCCAUCCAGGCAAAAGACCAUUGUCAUCAAUGACACCUACUAUUGUUCUCAAGGGCGGACAAUUGAGAGCUGUUGUUGGUGCAAGUGGAGGAGCAAUGAUCAUUGCUGGUACAACUGAGGUUUUUCUGAAUCAUUUUGCAAGGGGAAUGGAUCCCUUCUCUUCUGUAAUGGCUCCAAGAUAUUACCAUCAGUUGAUUCCGAAUGAGUUACAAUACGAGAAUUGGACAGUCGUGACAGGUGACCACGUAGAGGCUCCAGCGAAAAUAAGGGCUGGCCUUCAAAAGAAGGGACAUGUCCUAAAAAGUAUUGCUGGAGGGACAAUCUGUCAAUUUGUUGUUCAAGAAUUCAAGUCAUCCAAGUUAGGGGAGCUUGUAGCUGUAAGUGAUCCGAGGAAGGGCGGAUUUCCUGCUGGCUUUUAGACGUUGAACUCAACGUCUAACAAGAAGUCGUCUUCGUUGCACAAGGACCCUAACAGAGUGUUGCAUGGCUGUCGCAAGCUCGGGUCGUGUGAUGUUUGGUCAGGUCCUAUAACAAGUGAAACCCUCGUUUUGUGUUGCUGAGACAUGCGCCUAAGGAGAAAGUCUUUGCAACCGAAGUGAGCCGACGAGUCGAGUGAUGCGUCAGCGAUACCAAUUGAGUGUCAGCACCUAGUUGUGUUGUCAGUAAGAAGGUAGUCGGUGCCUUUCAGCACUUUCUUUUUCUAGCUAGCGCGCUUGAUAAAUCUUGUAUGUGUUCCUAAGAAAAAAGAAUUUCUCCAUUUUUUCGGGAUCUCAAACGGGCGUGGAAAAGCAUAAGAACUCUUGAGUCGUUCAAAGCGAAAGAAGUUCCGAUCAGAACUUCUAAAAGAAGAGAAAAGAGAAAAGAGGCAAGACCAGAGAAGGAGCUAAAACCGUUAAGUGUAACACUUUGUUUGGAUCAUUGUUACCAAUUGUUUCAUAAUGUAUUGUACUCUAUUAUACUGUAUUGUAUGAUAUAUACAAUGUUUGGCUAGAUUGCA